rnacentral:rRNA from 1 species
UGAUAGAUUAAGUGGUAAACGAAGUGGGAAGGCCCAGACAGCCAGGAUGUUGGCUUAGAAGCAGCCAUCAUUUAAAGAGUGCGUAAUAGCUCACUAGUCGAGUGACACUGCGCCGAAAAUGUACCGGGGCUAAACAUAUUACCGAAGCUGUGGAUUGUCCUUUGGACAAUGGUAGGAGAGCGUUCUAAGGGCGUCGAAGCAUGAUCGCAAGGACAUGUGGAGCGCUUAGAAGUGAGAAUGCCGGUGUGAGUAGCGAAAGACGGGUGAGAAUCCCGUCCACCGAUUGACUAAGGUUUCCAGAGGAAGGCUCGUCCGCUCUGGGUUAGUCGGGUCCUAAGCUGAGGCCGACAGGCGUAGGCGAUGGAUAACAGGUUGAUAUUCCUGUACCACCUAGUAUCGUUUUAAUCGAUGGGGGGACGCAGUAGGAUAGGCGAAGCGUGCUGUUGGAGUGCACGUCCAAGCAGUAAGGCUGAGUGUUAGGCAAAUCCGGCACUCAUAAGGCUGAGCUGUGAUGGGGAGAGGAAAUUGUUUCCUCGAGUCGUUGAUUUCACACUGCCGAGAAAAGCCUCUAGAUAGAUAACAGGUGCCCGUACCGCAAACCGACACAGGUAGUCAAGAUGAGAAUUCUAAGGUGAGCGAGCGAACUCUCGUUAAGGAACUCGGCAAAAUGACCCCGUAACUUCGGGAGAAGGGGUGCUGAUUUUAAGUCAGCCGCAGUGAAUAGGCCCAAGCAACUGUUUAUCAAAAACACAGCUCUCUGCUAAAUCGUAAGAUGAUGUAUAGGGGGUGACGCCUGCCCGGUGCUGGAAGGUUAAGAGGAGUGGUUAGCUUCUGCGAAGCUACGAAUCGAAGCCCCAGUAAACGGCGGCCGUAACAAUAACGGUCCUAAGGUAGCGAAAUUCCUUGUCGGGUAAGUUCCGACCCGCACGAAAGGCGUAACGAUUUGGGCACUGUCUCAACGAGAGACUCGGUGAAAUCAUAGUACCUGUGAAGAUGCAGGUUACCCGCGACAGGACGGAAAGACCCCGUGGAGCUUUACUGUAGCCUGAUAUUGAAAUUCGGCACAGCUUGUACAGGAUAGGUAGGAGCCUUUGAAACGUGAGCGCUAGCUUACGUGGAGGCGUUGGUGGGAUACUACCCUAGCUGUGUUGGCUUUCUAACCCGCACCACUUAUCGUGGUGGGAGACAGUGUCAGGCGGGCAGUUUGACUGGGGCGGUCGCCUCCUAAAAGGUAACGGAGGCGCUCAAAGGUUCCCUCAGAAUGGUUGGAAAUCAUUCACAGAGUGUAAAGGCAUAAGGGAGCUUGACUGCGAGACCUACAAGUCGAGCAGGGUCGAAAGACGGACUUAGUGAUCCGGUGGUUCCGCAUGGAAGGGCCAUCGCUCAACGGA